rnacentral:rRNA from 1 species
UACGAGGGGUGCAAGCGUUGCUCGGAAUUACUGGGCGUAAAGGGCUCGUAGGCGGCCAACUAAGUCAUACGUGAAAUCCCUCAGCUUAACUGGGGAACUGCGUGUGAUACUGGAUGGCUUGGAUUUGGGAGAGGGAUGCGGAAUUCCAGGUGUAGCGGUGAAAUGCGUAGAUAUCUGGAGGAACACCGGUGGCGAAGGCGGCAUCCUGGACCAAUAUUGACGCUGAGGAGCGAAAGCCAGGGGAGCAAACGGG